rnacentral:pre_miRNA from 1 species
AGUGGAGCUGCUGGUCAUGUGGUAACUCUGUUGAACCUGUGAAGAACUUCCAGACUCUUCCCUGAGGUGGCUGCACCACUUUACAUUCCCAAAGGCAGU